rnacentral:rRNA from 1 species
AGAGUUUGAUCCUGGCUCAGGAUGAACGCUGGCGGCGUGCCUAAUACAUGCAAGUCGAACGCUUGCUUGAGGACUUGUCUUCAAGCAGGAGUGGCGAACGGGUGAGUAAUACAUAAGCAAUCUGCCCAUCGGCCUGGGAUAACAGUUGGAAACGACUGCUAAUACCGGAUAGGUGAUAGAGAGGCAUCUCUCGAUCAUUAAAGUUGGGAUACAACACGGAUGGAUGAGCUUAUGGCGUAUUAGCUAGUAGGUGAGGUAACGGCCCACCUAGGCGAUGAUACGUAGCCGACCUGAGAGGGUGACCGGCCACAUUGGGACUGAGACACGGCCCAAACUCCUACGGGAGGCAGCAGUAGGGAAUUUUCGGCAAUGGGCGAAAGCCUGACCGAGCAACGCCGCGUGAGUGAAGAAGGCCUUCGGGUUGUAAAGCUCUGUUGUGAAGGAAGAACGGCUCAUACAGGGAAUGGUAUGGGAGUGACGGUACUUUACCAGAAAGCCACGGCUAACUACGUGCCAGCAGCCGCGGUAAUACGUAGGUGGCGAGCGUUAUCCGGAAUUAUUGGGCGUAAAGGGUGCGCAGGCGGUUUGUUAAGUUUAAGGUGAAAGCGUGGGGCUUAACCCCAUAUAGCCUUAGAAACUGACAGACUAGAGUACAGGAGAGGGCAAUGGAAUUCCAUGUGUAGCGGUAAAAUGCGUAGAUAUAUGGAGGAACACCAGUGGCGAAGGCGGUUGCCUGGCCUGUAACUGACGCUCAUGCACGAAAGCGUGGGGAGCAAAUAGGAUUAGAUACCCUAGUAGUCCACGCCGUAAACGAUGAGAACUAAGUGUUGGGGAAACUCAGUGCUGCAGUUAACGCAAUAAGUUCUCCGCCUGGGGAGUAUGCACGCAAGUGUGAAACUCAAAGGAAUUGACGGGGGCCCGCACAAGCGGUGGAGUAUGUGGUUUAAUUCGACGCAACGCGAAGAACCU